rnacentral:rRNA from 1 species
GCUAAUACCGCAUAAAAUCGUGAAGUGGCAUCACUUUACGACCAAAGAUUUAUUGCUCUAAGAUGGGCUCGCGUCCGAUUAGAUAGUUGGUGGGGUAAAGGCCUACCAAGUCAACGAUCGGUAGCCGGACUGAGAGGUUGGCCGGCCACAUUGGGACUGAGAUACGGCCCAGACUCCUACGGGAGGCAGCAGUGGGGAAUAUUAGGCAAUGGGGGAAACCCUGACCUAGCGACGCCGCGUGAAGGAUGAAGGUUUUCGGAUUGUAAACUUCUUUGGCAGAGGACGAUAAUGACGGUACUCUGAGAACAAGCCACGGCUAACUACGUGCCAGCAGCCGCGGUAAUACGUAGGUGGCAAGCGUUGUCCGGAUUUACUGGGUGUAAAGGGCGAGUAGGCGGGUCUACAAGUCAGAUGUGAAAUACCGAGGCUCAACCUCGGGGCUGCAUUUGAAACUGUGGAUCUUGAGUGAUGGAGAGGCAGGCGGAAUUCCCAGUGUAGCGGUAAAAUGCAUAGAGAUUGGGAGGAACACCAGUGGCGAAGGCGGCCUGCUGGACAUUAACUGACGCUGAGGAGCGAAAGUGUGGGGAGCAAACAGGAUUAGAUACCCUGGUAGUCCACACUGUAAACGAUGGAUACUAGGUGGGCGGGGACUGACCCCCUGCGUGCCGGAAUUAACACCAUUAAGUACCCCACCUGGGGGAGGACGAUCGCAAAAUUUGAACUCCAAAGAAAUUAACGGGCCCCCCCCCAAGCCGUGGAAUUAUUUUGAUUUAUUCCAACCCCACGCCAAAAAACCUUACCCAGGGUUUGAAAUUCCU